rnacentral:rRNA from 1 species
UACGGAGGGUGCAAGCGUUAUUCGGAUUCACUGGGUUUAAAGGGUGCGUAGGCGGGUCUUUAAGUCCGGGGUGAAAUCCCGGAGCUCAACUCCAGAACUGCCUUUGAUACUGAAGAUCUUGAGUCCGGGAGAGGUGAGUGGAACUGCGAGUGUAGAGGUGAAAUUCGUAGAUAUUCGCAAGAACACCAGUGGCGAAGGCGGCUCACUGGCCCGGUACUGACGCUGAGGCACGAAAGCGUGGGGAGCAAACAGG